CUCGUAGGCGGCUUCGUAAGUCAGAGGUGAAAUCUGAUGGCUCAACCAUCAACCCGCCUUUGAAACUACAAAGCUUGAGUUCAUGAGAGGAAAGUGGAAUUCCUGGUGUAGCGGUGAAAUGCGUAGAUAUCAGGAGGAACACCAGUGGCGAAGGCGGCUUUCUGGCAUGAAACUGACGCAGAGGAGCGAAAGCCAGGGGAGCGAACG
rnacentral:rRNA from 1 species